UGUAGUAAUACCGUCCUCUCCCUCCGUG
rnacentral:piRNA from 1 species